rnacentral:ncRNA from 2 species
UAUUUAAUAGCCGGACCAGGUUUCCGAUAUGCAUCGGAUUAAAAGGGAAUCGUUAAGACCGCCGAUGCGGUUAAAUCACGAGCUGUCGCGCAACUGUAAGUAACGCUCAAAAAGUUUCCGCCAACCAUGUCCACUGUCUGUGAAAACGGAUGGGAAGGACGGCCGAAAUGUUACAAGCCAGGAUACCUGCCUUUUACCGGAUGGACAA